AACGAACGCUGGCGGCAGGCUUAACACAUGCAAGUCGAACGCCCCGCCAGGGGAGUGGCAGACGGGUGAGUAACGCGUGGGAACAUACCCUUUUCUACGGAAUAGCUCUGGGAAACUGGAAUUAAUACCGUAUACGCCCUACGGGGGAAAGAUUUAUCGGGGAAGGAUUGGCCCGCGUUGGAUUAGCUAGUUGGUGGGGUAAAGGCCUACCAAGGCGACGAUCCAUAGCUGGUCUGAGAGGAUGAUCAGCCACAUUGGGACUGAGACACGGCCCAAACUCCUACGGGAGGCAGCAGUGGGGAAUAAUGGACAAUGGGCGCAAGCCUGAUCCAGCCAUGCCGCGGGAGUGAUGAAGGCCUUAGGGUUGUAAAGCUCUUUCACCGAUGAAGAUAAGGACGGUAGUCGGAGAAGAAGCCCCGGCUAACUUCGU
rnacentral:rRNA from 1 species